GACGAACGCUGGCGGCGUGCUUAACACAUGCAAGUCGAACGGAAAGGCCCUGCUUGCAGGGUACUCGAGUGGCGAACGGGUGAGUAACACGUGGGUGAUCUGCCCUGCACUUCGGGAUAAGCCUGGGAAACUGGGUCUAAUACCGGAUAGGAGCCAUUUUUAGUGUGAUGGUUGGAAAGUUUUUUCGGUGUAGGAUGAGCUCGCGGCCUAUCAGCUUGUUGGUGGGGUAAUGGCCUACCAAGGCGGCGACGGGUAGCCGGCCUGAGAGGGUGGACGGCCACAUUGGGACUGAGAGACGGCCCAGACUCCUACGGGAGGCAGAAGUGGGGAAUAUUGCACAAGGGGCGCAAGCCUGAUGCAGCGACGCCGCGUGGGGGAUGACGGCCUUCGGGUUGUAAACUCCUUUCGCUAGGGACGAAGCUUUUUGUGACGGUACCUAGAUAAGAAGCACCGGCUAACUACGUG
rnacentral:rRNA from 1 species